GGCUACCUUUUUUUUAGACCACAUCCUUAAAAUCAAAGCCUUCCUCUUCUCCUUUUCUCCAGCAGCCUUCCUCCAUAGUGGGGCUACAUCUCACUUUGUACAAAGUUGUCAGCCUCAUUCUCUCCUCCAGAUCACUAACUGAAAGUCAAGAAGACAUCACCCUUGCGAUGUCAUUGGUCUUUGAAAACGAAGGACAAACAACAGCUCAUAUAAAGAGCAAAAUGACUUUCCUACAAUGUAAGGAAAUGUCACAGGAAACAAAUAUACAUGUAGCUAUCUAGAGAAAAAUGGCGAUGACAGUAAAUUCACAGCAUAAAUCGGGAAGUGGGAGCAUUUCUUGGACCACUUCACUGCUAAAAACAGCACCAUCAGAGUCCAAAGGAAAAGAAGGCAUCUAAUGUGGCUGCCUUCAAUACUUAAGGACUAACAGAUAACGAAGCCCUAAGUCUAGAGCUAAAACUUCCCAGGGGAACUCAAAGUGAAUUAAUGGUAGUGCUGGAAUUGGCUUGGGCCUUCCAGCUCCUCAUCCAAUGUUCUUUUGCUAUCCAGAUAAGAAAAUUGCCAGAG